rnacentral:misc_RNA from 1 species
AACGCACCUUGCACUUUGGGAGUCAAUCUCAAAGUAUACCUGUUUGAGUAUCAUACCAUUCUAUCCAAGCAAUUGGGAUUUGAGAGAUUGUGUGCCUUUGGGCACAGAGUGUCUUUAAAUGCAGUUCAGAGGAGAGUAGGCGCACUUGCAGCCAAUCUCGAGUGAGGAUGUUUGCCUUGUGCAAAGUUAAUCAUGAGAGGGCUUUUGUCAGCAAGGAUGAUGCGUGUCUAUACGAGCUGACAGUAGAAAAGUAGAAAACAGUUAAGCACUGUUUGUUGCAUUGUCUCAGACUUCUUUUUAGGGGUGUGAGGAUGCAGUUUGGUGGUACAAAUGUGAUCUCAAAUCAGGCAAGACUACCCGCCGAACUUAA